AUUGAACGCUGGCGGCAGGCCUAACACAUGCAAGUCGAACGAGUGGCGGACGGGUGAGUAAUGUCUGGGAAACUGCCUGAUGGAGGGGGAUAACUACUGGAAACGGUAGCUAAUACCGCAUACCAUCGGAUGUGCCCAGAUGGGAUUAGCUAGUAGGUGGGGUAAAGGCUCACCUUGGCGCCGAUCCCUAGCUGGGCUGAGAGGAUGACCAGCCACACUGGAACAUAGACACGGUGCAGACGCCUACGCGAGGGAGCAGGGGAGAAUAUUGAACAAUGGGCGCAAGCCUGAUGCAGCCAUGCCGCGUGUAUGAAGAAGGCCUUCGGGUUGUAAAGUAGUUGCAGCGGGGAGGCGUUACCCGCAGAAGAAGCACCGGCUAACUCCGUGCCAGCAGCCGCGGUAAUAC
rnacentral:rRNA from 1 species